GGGAGCUGGGCUCUUCUCAGAAGAGAAGUACAGUUCUGUACCUGCUCUCACUAGGCACUUUUCUGUGCUGAUGAAUUUGGCUUCGGUGCCUGGUUCUUUUCCUCCCCUAGGAACACUUUGUUUUUAUUCGCAACUGGAAAUGUGCAGUGGUGCUCCCUUGUAGCUACUUGCAGCACUUGGCUCUCUGGGAACAGAAAUCUAGAGGGGACCCAGAAAGAAUGUACAGGGUAGUUUAAAUAAGGCCUGCAGGCCACUUGCUGAAUGCUGUGGAUAAAAAGAAGUCUUCACUGAACAAGGCAGAUACCC